rfam:Erinaceus europaeus unplaced genomic scaffold scaffold00401, whole genome shotgun sequence
AAACAGGUCUUGUUCAAGACCACAAAGUUACUUAAAUGUACUCUG